CCCUUAGAUGUUCUGGGCCGCACACGCGCUACACUGAAGGAGGCAGCGUGUACUCCUGGAUCGAAAGAUUUGGGUAACCCGCGAAUCUCCUUCGUGCUAGGGAUUGAGGUUUGCAAUUAUCCUUCAUGAACGAGGAAUUCCCAGUAAGUGCAAGUCAUAAGCUUGCGCUGACUACGUCCCUGCCCUUUGUACACACCGCCCGUCGCUACUACCGAUUGAAUGAGUUAGUGAGGACUUCGGACUGGGACCGAUGCGGCUUUCGGGCUGCGUCGGUAUUCUGGAAAGAUGUCCAAACUGUAUCAUUUAGAGGAAGUAAAAGUCGUAACA
rnacentral:rRNA from 1 species